AUCUUUGCGCUUGGGGCAAUGAUGCAGCCUGUGAGGCAACACUGAGGCGCGUCAAUCCCUGGUUGAAAACUAUUUCCAAACCCCCUCUGCGGCCCGUCAGGGCCACUAAGAAUUUCUGGAAGGGCUCCCUCUAACCAGGGGAAAGCC
rnacentral:snRNA from 1 species